AUGGAUAUCAUCCAAGAGUUCGGACAAGCUUCAGGUCUGAAAGUGAACCUGCUAAAAUCUUCAGUCACUGCUAUCAGGUGCGACCUCAUCGACCUACAGCAUGUGCUUCAGAAUUUCGGUGGACAACAAACCCAAUUCCCCCUGAGCUAUCUUGGGUUGUCUGUCACCAUUUCUAGACUGCGCAUAGUGCAUCUGCAGUUCAUCCUGGACAGAAUCAGAGCGCGCCUGGCAGGAUGGAAGGGACGGCUCUUGUCCAUUGCAGGAAGGCGCGUUCUCGUCAGAAGCGUGCUCACUGCACUCCCCACUUUCGCACUGGCUGUUCUGAAGGUGCCAAAGAAGCUCCUAGCCGAGGUGGACAAGAUCAGAAGACACUUUCUAUGGGCUCAAGAGGAGGAGGUCAGUGGCGGGAAAUGCAAAGUAAACUGGCCUGUGGUGUGCUCUCCGAUUGACAAGGGUGGGCUUGGCAUUCCAAACCUGCACCGAUUAAGCCGCGCCCUCAGACUCAGAUGGCUCUGGUUCUCCUGGGUAACACCAAGCAGGCCUUGGGUGGGCAUGCAGCUGCCAUGCGAUCAAGGUGACAAGGAUCUGUUCAAUGCCUCAACAACGGUGACGUUGGGAGAUGGGAAGACGGCCAGCUUCUGGGACUGCUCCUGGACUGGCGCAAGAACUCUGAAAAUGGAGUUCCCAGAGCUCUACAAGCAAUCAAGAAGAAAGAACAGGACCGUCCAUGCUGCACUACUGAAUGACACUUGGAUUGCUGAUUUGGCUCACGGAAACACGCACCAACUAUGGCCUGAGGUGAUCCACCUGAGCAGAUGGCUUAUCUCCAAGAACCUGAACCUAAACGACCAGCUGCAAGACACAAUUACAUGGAAGCACACGGCCUCGGGAUCUUUCUCCACCAGCUCGUCCUAG
rnacentral:rRNA from 1 species